UACGAAGGGGGGCUAGCGUUGCUCGGAAUGACUGGGCGUAAAGGGCGCGUAGGCGGCUUGCACAGUCAGGCGUGAAAUUCCUGGGCUCAACCUGGGGACUGCGCUUGAGACGUGUGGGCUUGAGUGGGGAAGAGGGUCGUGGAAUUCCCAGUGUAGAGGUGAAAUUCGUAGAUAUCUGGAGGAACACCGGUGGCGAAGGCGGCAUCCUGGACCGGCAUUGACGGCUGAGGCGCGAAAGCCAGGGGAGCAAACGGGGAUU
rnacentral:rRNA from 1 species